CCUUGACAUCCACGGAAUUUGGCAGAGAUGCCUUAGUGCCUUCGGGAACCGUGAGACAGGUGCUGCAUGGCUGUCGUCAGCUCGUGUUGUGAAAUGUUGGGUUAAGUCCCGCAACGAGCGCAACCCUUAUCCUUUGUUGCCAGCGGCUCGGCCGGGAACUCAAAGGAGACUGCCGGUGAUAAACCGGAGGAAGGUGGGGAUGACGUCAAGUCAUCAUGGCCCUUACGGCCAGGGCUACACACGUGCUACAAUGGCGCAUACAAAGAGAAGCGACCUCGCGAGAGCAAGCGGACCUCAUAAAGUGCGUCGUAGUCCGGAUUGGAGUCUGCAACUCGACUCCAUGAAGUCGGAAUCGCUAGUAAUCGUAGAUCAGAAUGCUACGGUGAAUACGUUCCCGGGCCUUGUACACACCGCCCGUCACACCAUGGGAGUGGGUUGCAAAAGAAGUAGGUAGCUUAACCUUCGGGAGGGCGCUUACCACUUUGUGAUUCAUGACUGGGGUGAAGUCGUAACAAGGUAAGCGUAGAUGA
rnacentral:rRNA from 1 species